GAGGGGCGGGGGAAAAAGGCGGGAAGGCGUCGGGUGAGGUGGCGCGUGCCGCCCUCACAGCGCUGUGAGGCGAUGGCCGCCAUGGUGGCGCGUUGGUAUCAACGUCGUGCCUUGGUGUUGUGAGUCCAGGCUUUGGCACUAGCAGAACACACUGGAGAACAGUAAGUGCUGAUGUGGUUGGUGAUGAAAGGAAAAGCUUCUGAGAUCCGGGCUUCUUUGAACCAAGCAAGUCUGAGGAUUCACCAGGGACAGGAAACUGGGUUUUUUUCUUCUGCAUCACUUUUCCUCAAAAAUUAAUUUGCAAUAGAAUAGCAAAUUCUGAGCUAGACAGAGUCCAGUACUCCAACUUUCCCUUAACUAUGAAUCAAAUAAUAAUUAAAGAUAACGAUUCACUAAUCCUCAGCGUUGCACCAAGGAGGAAGGUGAGUUGAAUAUAAAUAUAUAUAAUGUCUUUAAAAAAAAUGUUUUUGAAGUGUAGAGAAGUAGAGCAGCUUAUUCAUACUGAAAUAACAAUAAUUAAAAAUACAGAAUUGGGAACCAGCACUCCUUUACAUACUGGUUGUUUCACUUUGCCCAACCUUCCCUGCACUUGGCUCCAGCAGCACCCACGUCCCUUGGAACAGGAAAGGAUACAUUUGCUCUAGCAGAGCUACCAUGUGCAAACAGCCCUACAAGGAGUACAAAACACAACCACGAUCAGCACCUCUGUGAGAAACGCCUUCCACACACACACCCAAAGCUUACUGCUUUGCACAUUGCCAGUUUGCUUGCCUGCCUUUAAAACACUUUUAAGACAGUUUAACUUCGGCACUGUCGCUGUGAUUCAAAUCUAGUUUUAAUUGUGAGAAAACAAACAUUGUGUAAAGAAUCUUGACCUCCUUUGGAAAGAUUCUGACUUGGAAGCUUUAAUUGCAGGGAAUCUGUUCGUAGCGCUAUUUUUACAUGUAUUGGAAACGUAUCAAAGCUAAUUUUUGAGAAGAGUAAAUUAUACUUUAAAAUGCACAAUUGUGAGAAAGUGACUCCCAAACGUCUUUGAGUUGGUCCUUUGUUUCUCGUUAGAAGCAUCUCCUAUCUUCCCUGAUGAGCCUGCUCCUGUUUUUGGGGCUGUUUUGCUUUAAGAUGCUUUUGAUCCUGUAUUCAUUAAAACCUGAUCCUGCUGCUUCCCACCAGCCCUAAUGGUCUGUGAAAUUAUUUUCCUUUCUCUAAGAUGCUGUUAACUCUGCUAGCACCUGCAGAGUAGAGGAGCUCAGAACAUUGUCGAAACUCUUCGAAUUCAUCCAAACCACCUUUUCUCCAUAAACAAUCUUCAAUGUUAUCACAGCAAUCUUCCGUAGUAGAGAAGUGGGAGUGGACUGAACAGAGUUUAAAGUUUUUAUCACUGCUGUUUUCCACUUCUGCAGGAACAGAGAGAUAAUCGUACAAAAGACUUGGGAAUCCAGGGUAAGAUUCACCCUGUGGAGCACAGAGAGAAAGUAUGAAUGAGCUUAAAGGGCUCAAAUAGCUGGGGAAGAAAAGAAAAGGUGAAUCAACUAAGAAAAAGGCAGAGGACAAUGAGAAGUGAUGUAAAAAGGGAAAUGUAAAUGUGCGUUUGCAGUCUGGACCUUGUAGGGAAUAACAGGCAUGGAUUCUGGAAGUAUCCACAAACAAAGAGUUGUUCAGUGUUUCAGUUACUGAGCUGCCAUUUUGUUCUGAUGCUAAGUCUGGUUUUAUUUUUAUGCUGGUGGAAGAGGAGAGCUCUCUCAGUGUCUGGUUUUGACCACAAUGAAGGUUAACGUUAGCUGUUACCGUGCACUUUAUUGUACAGAUUCUAGCACUCUGAUUUAAGUGAUGCUACUCUAGAACAUUCUUACAGAACUAAUCAGAGCUAAUCAGUUCUUUGUUUAUGCCUUCUCAUUAGCAGUCCUGCAGCGACUAUUACUGCAUUAAGUUACUGCAGCCAGAAUGGAGUAAUGAGUAGUUCAAUCUUUAAUUUCAUUUGAAGCUGCGUUCAGUUAUUGCAUGGAAAAUUGCUUUCUGGAGAAAUGAUUUCAAAACCAAGCAUUCAGAAGUCAUGAAGCCUGACCAGAAGUAAGGUUCUCCCUUUUUGAUAUUUUGGAUGUACCGUACAUAUAGAUCUACAGAUUGUGGUCUUGUAACAUUAUCCUUAGACCAGAUAAAAUGAAGCUCAUGUUAAAACUAGGCACUAAUUUAAAGCAUCCAGCUGAUAAAAUCCAGCCCUCGUUAGUGAAGAUUGUCAUUCAAUUGUGCUUUUUGUGUUCUGAGUUUUGGAUCUCUCCAGAUGUGGAUGUGAACACUCCUUCCAGCCCAGCUGUUCGUACAGAAAUGCAGUUAGCUGCUGGGGUGUCUGCACUGCCACGCAGGGCAGGAAGCAGGGGCAGGAUCUGCCCAUUAGGAUGGGCCUUCUCUUUCUCAGUCCUAAGACCAAGAUUUUGUCUUUCCUGCCACGUUCACUGUAAAACAAAUUAACAAAUUACAGCCUAUCACAUUCCCUAAAUGAGAUUUGCCAAGACCUUGGGAGAAAGUCACGCUACAGUUCUGAGAAUAACUUCAAUCAGAGGAGGAACUUGCACAUUUUUUCCUGAAAGCAGGUCCAGCUCUUCAAAGCCGAUAAUGAACAAGAGAGGCUAUAUUUGCCUGGAAAACAGUUUGCAUUGUUCUGAGAAGUGAUUUUAAGAAGUUUAGCUAAUGAGUGUCAGGCGAUCAAACUGCCAGGAGAUACAGACUCAGCUGCCUGCUUUACCCGUGACCACAGAAGAUGGAGAUAACGAUCUCUGCUGUUUAAAUGUACAUGGGGGCUGCGAUUCUAUUGCCUUGGAAUGUGUGAUUUCUCCAGCCUUAAAUGCCAUUUGCAUUUUAAUUUUUUUUCCUUAAAAUAUUUAAAACUGUACACACCUCAUUGCGCAGUGACAUCCAGCUGUAGCAGAUUCAGUCUGAGGUAAUUACAGUCCUUCCUGUUCUUCACAUGCAUCUUCUCACCAUUGCUGAAAUGCUGUUAGUUAUGCACUGUAACUCUAAGUAUGAAACGUUAUGAGAAUACCUAUUUCAGACACACAUCCACUCCCUCCUGCCCUGACACUCUCCACAUGCUAAAAUGGGACUCCAAAGCUGGCAUGUUUUUCCCCAGUAGAUGCCUGAUUCUCGUGUACUUUUCAGUCUGAGAAAUCCAAUAGGAAUUCUUGUUUCCUUUGCCAGAGCGCGUGGAGGCCGGCGUGUUAAGCUCACAAAACCACUGAGCCUUAACUGAGUGGCACAGAACAGAUCCCAAUUCUUCUUAAUGUUUACCAUUGGGGUGAUGGGUUUUUUUUUUUAGUAAUAUCUUUAAGACUGGUAACUCAUCAAUUUCAAAGCAGCACUGGUAGCUUCGUUAUCCCUCAAACUGUUGUCAUUUAAGCAUGAGUCUUUACUAUCCUGUGACCAGCAGAUCACCACUGUCAAACACUUAAUGCACCUCCGAAUGCACGCGCACACAGUACAUCUAACCUAUUCUAUAUGCACUCUAAACAUUAUUUUAAAACAUCUGUUGAUGGAAUUGCAGAGGGAACUCAUAAAGGCAAGGAAGAUGAAAGGAAAAGGAAAGCAGCUGCCAAGCCUUCCCCCUUGUGAACACCGUGUCUCAGUUAGGUCUUUUUCUAAGGCACUUAAAUUCAAGUCCUACUCGACUGAGUUCCCUUCUCCUCAGAGAAAGGCCACUCAUCUGCUAAUGAAGGAGCAAGCCUUUUUGCUUUAGUAACUCCUUGGCAAGUCAGCUCCAACUGAAAACAUCCAGUGAGUGUUCAGAACGUCUGCCAUCUUGACUGCAAAGAGUGUUUACACCUCAGAUUUCAUUUUGGAAAAUAUUCCACUAUCACAAUAAAGCUAUUGUUUGGAGCUGGGGAAAGGAAAAUAAGUGACAAAUCAAACACACCACCCUAAAAAAACCCCAAAUUAAAUAUAUUAUAUUAUAUAUGAUAUAUAUAAUCAUUAUGUUAUUAUUCACUU